AUACGGAGGAUGCGAGCGUUACCCGGAUUUAUUGGGUUUAAAGGGAGCGUAGGCGGGAGCUUAAGUCAGCGGUUAAAUGGUGCGGCUCAACCGUGCCCUGCCGUUGAAACUGGGUUUCUUGAGAGUGCAAGAGGCGGAUGGAAUUCAUGGUGUAGCGGUGAAAUGCUUAGAUAUCAUGAAGAACUCCGAUUGCGAAGGCAGUCCGCUGGGGCACGUCUGACGCUGAUGCUCGAAGGUGCGGGAAUCAAACAGGAUUAGAUACCCUUGUAGUCCGCACGGUAAACGAUGAUUACCCGCUGUCGGCGGUAGACAGUCGGCGGCCAAGCGAAAGCGAUAAGUAAUCCACCUGGGGAGUACGCCGGCAACGGUGAAACUCAAAGGAAUUGACGGGG
rnacentral:rRNA from 1 species